rnacentral:rRNA from 1 species
UGCAAGUCGAACGGAGUAAAGCCCUUCGGGACUUUACUUAGUGGCGAACGGGUGAGUAACGCGUGAGGAACCUGCCUUUCAGUGGGGGACAACAGUUGGAAACGACUGCUAAUACCGCAUGACGCUUCUUGGGGGCAUCCCUGGGAAGUCAAAGAUUUAUUGCUGAAAGAUGGCCUCGCGUCUGAUUAGCUAGUUGGCGGGGUAACGGCCCACCAAGGCGACGAUCAGUAGCCGGUCUGAGAGGAUGAACGGCCACAUUGGGACUGAGAUACGGCCCAGACUCC